ensembl:lncRNA
GGGAGAAACUCACAAAUAUAGGUCUGCCAAGCUUGUAGCAUCAUACCCAAGAAGACUUGAAGCUGUAAUUGCUGCCAAAGGUACUUCAACAAAUUACUGAGUAAAAGGUCUGAAUUGUUUAUUGUGGCAGAUGGCAGGGAGAGGUAGGAGGAGUGGUGAUUGAAGGAAGAUAUCUUGCAGCCGGCUGGCUCCACCCCCAAGUCUUAUAUGGACUUCCUGCCCCAACGAGGCAAGCCGGUGGAUCAUUAAGCUAUUGAGUGCUUGGGGAUAAAAGAGGAACUGGGCUGCACGAAGAGGACCGAGAGGGAAACGUGGGUUAUGGAGAGUGUGAGAAGUGAAAGAAGUAUCUGUAUGAUUACUCGUUGUGAACUGGUUGCUGGAUCCCCCCUUUCCCACCGUGUGCAAAUAUCCCUAAUACAUUUCCCAUUGGAUUUCUAGUUGUGCUCCUUGUGCGUGUUUGGUUUUUGAACUCGGUGACGUGGAAAUCCUACACCCUUGAGGCUGCUAUGGUGGAGAUUGCGGGCAAAGCAAACCAAGCUCAAUAACUAAACAAACACAGAGCAUAACGGAGGCAUUGGUGAAACAGCUGGUGGGGGCGAACAUAGAGCAACAGGCUAUGCAUUGGGAGCUGCUGGAGGAACAGCGUCAGCAGACCACUCUCCUGCGAGCUGAUCUCUGCCAGUUUACAAUGCCUUCAACCUCGGCCAGUGAGGUAGCCACCGGGCAUCCCUGCCGCUUGCUGAUGAGUGGUCCUUCCCCUGUCACCCCGGUAAGAACCAAUAGAAAGGACACCAUGCCACUUUUGGACUGACUUCGCCCAGUCCCCGAACCUGACUGACACGGUGUCCAUCACAUGCAUACACGAUGAGACCAAGGACUACCCUUCCACACUCCCACAUCUACAGACAACAAAAGGGGCCAGUGGGAGUUGUCCUGAACUUGCCAGUGCCAGUCCUUAUCGGGAGGGCUUUCCCGAUGUGCCGCCAACUGUGGACCAGUAUGUCCGGAGACAUGGGGAAACCAGGGAACCAGAUGGGUGGAGGAAGCCAGAAAGGCAGGAGGGAUGCCAGAAGGAAUGAUGCCCUGAUGUGUGGAUUCCAGGAAGUGGACCCCCAGGCAUCAACAGAACCCCUCUCUGAGGGUGACUCAGGUGAAGCAAGACUGGAGGAAGGUGAGGCGAGUCUGGACGACAUGUUCCCGAUGGACUAUGAGGUGGUGCCAGAGCCCUCCUCUCUAGCGGGCCAGUUCGGCACGGCCCAAUUGGAUGAUCCUAACCUGGCCAGCGCUCUCCAGCAGGUGGAUGUGGUGGACGGAAAGCCCAUGGAGGGUGUAAGUCAGAUCACCGAACCCCCAUUUUUCCAUAAAGAAGAAAAUUCUGUAUCAGGUUGUGAAGAAGAACGACGAAUGUAGGGAAUUGUUGUUGUUGCCCCGUCUCUUUGUACAAUCUGUCCUGCUGUUGGCACACUCCCACAUUCUUGGGGCUCACCUAAGGGUGGAGAAGACCUUAGACCGGAUCAAGGUACAAUUGUACUGGCCGCUCUGCGAUGAUUUUAGAAAGUUAAAUGAAAUCUCAAAGCUCAACGCCUACCCAAUGCCCGGAAUUGAUGAACUUAUAGAACGGCUAGGAAACGCCUGAUUUUCAGCACCCUUGACCUAUUGAAGGGUUAUUGGCAGGUGCCCUUAGCUCCAGAGGCUAUGAGAAAACUGCUUUUGCCACCCCUGAUGGGCUGUUCCACUACAGAAAGCUGCCCUUUGGGUUGCACAGGGCCCUGGCCACCUUCCAGAGUUUUAUGGAACGGGUUCUCCAUCCACAUCGCGAGUACACGGUAGCCAACCUCGAUGAUAUUGUAAUCCAUGGGUGCGAUUAAGAGACCCAUCUAAACCAGGUGAGCGGGGUCUUGCAGGCUUUACGGGGGCGGUGCUAACAGUUAACCCAAGGAAAUGUCAGCUCAGCCUGCGGGAGGCUUAGUACCUGGGGUACACGAUCGGAAGGGGAUGUGUAAAACCCCAGGUGAAGAAAGUGAAGGCGAUUUGGGACUGGCCCCACCCCCUCACCAAGAAGCAAAUACUUACAUUUGUGUGACUAUUUAUCACUUGAGAUUUAUCCCCCACUUUGACUCCCUAGCCAGCCCCCUGACAGAUCUGACCAGGAGCCGUCUGCCCGCCCUGGUGACGUGGAUCGAGGAGACGGAGAAAGCCUUCCAGGACGUGCUGGUGACCCCGAACAUCUCCAUACCACUGGUGGUACAGACCAAUGAGUCAGAAACAGGGGUGGGUGCCAUCCUAUCACAGCUACAAGAAGAUCAGGUGCAGCCCAUGGAAAUGCCGAUGUACUCUCUAGGAGGGAUGUUUAAGGGAGCCGGACCGCCCCUCCCUCCCGGUCGGAGCUGAGGGGGGGCAGAUGGCAGGGAGAGGUGAGGGUAAGGGGAGUGGUGAUUGAAGGAAGAUAUCUUGUAGCCUGCUGGCUCCACCCCUGAGCCUUAUAUGGACAUCCUGCACCAACAAGGCAAGCCGGUGAUUCAUUAAGCCAUUGAGUGCUUGAGGAUAAAAGAGGAAGCGGGCUGCACAAAGAGGAAUAGGACCGAGAGGGAAACACGGGUUAUGGAGAGUGUGAGAAGUGGGAGAAGUAUCUGUAUGAUUACCCGUUGUGAACUGGUUGCUGGAACCCCCCUUUCCCACCGUGUGCAAAUAUCCCUAAUAAAUUCACCAUUUGAAUUCUAGUUGUGCUCCCUGUGCGUGUUUGGUUAUUGAACUUGGUGACGUGGAAACCCUACCCGCUUCAGCCUGCUACAUAAUGUAAAUGUAAUAUUUCAGUUUUUUAUAUUUCAUACAUUUGCAAAAAAAAAGAAAAAAAAAGAAAUCUUGGUCAUUAUGGGGUAUUGUGUGUAGAUUGUUUCAGAAAAAAAACAAUUGAAUCUAUUUUAGAAUAAGUCUUUAACCUAAAAUGUGGAAGA